UCUACAGAACAGAGGCUCAUUUUCCCCAGCACACACGUUUGCACAGAGCAGGGUCCUCUGGCCUCCACAAUGUCAGCUCCUGCCUCUGAACCCAGCCCCCUUCCCUACCUGCUGCUGGCUCUGCUGUUGGGACUCACAGGUGUGGCAGGUGAGGCAGAGCUGCAGGUGAUCCAGCCUGAGAAGUCAGUGUCUGUUGCGGCUGGAGAGACAGUCACUCUGCGCUGCACCCUGACCUCCCUGAUCCCUGUUGGGAAGGUUGAGUGGUUCAGGGGGACCGGGCCAGGCCGGGAGUUGAUCUUCCAUUACAAAGGAGGCCACUUCCCCCGAGUAACAAAUGCUUCAGACUCUACAAAGAGGAACAACACGGAUUUUUCCAUCCGCAUCAGUAAUACCACCACAAAAGACACGGGAACCUACUAUUGUGUGAAGUUCCAGAAAGGAAACCCCGAUGUGGAGUUGAAGUCUGGACCAGGCACCCUGGUCAUCGUGAGUGCCAAACCCUCUCCCCCCGUGGUGUCCGGCCCCACGGCCAGGGCCACGCCUCAGCAGACAGUGAGCUUCACCUGCAAGUCGCACGGCUUCUCCCCCAGAAACAUCACCCUGAGAUGGUUCAAAAACGGGAAUGAACUGAUAGCCUCUCAGACCAGUGUGUACCCAGAAGAAGACAACGCUUCCUACAGCAUCUCUAGCACAACCAAGCUGGUGCUGGCCCUGGGGGACAUUCGCUCCCAGGUCAUCUGCGAGGUGGCCCACGUGACCCUGCAGGGGGGCCCUCCUCUUCGUGGGACUGCCAACUUGUCUGAGACCCUUCGAGUUCCGCCCACCUUGGAGGUUUCCCAGCACCCCAUGGCAGGGGACCAGGUGAAUGUCACUUGCCAAGUGAAGAAGUUCUACCCUCAGCGCCUACAGCUGACCUGGUUGGAGAAUGGAAACGUGUCCCGAACAGAAACUCCCUCAGUGGCCUCCAACCUCCUAGAGAACAAGGAUGGGACCUUUAACUGGAUGAGCUGGCUCCUGGUGAAUUCAUCCACCCACAGGGAAGAUGUUGUGUUCACCUGCCAGGUGCAGCAUGACGGGCAGCCUGCAGUCACCAAAAACCAUACCCUUGUGGCCUCUGCCUCCCAAAAGGACCAGAAAACACAGAAAACCCAAGGAGGAGGUUGAGCCAGGUUUCCAGAAGUCUGCUCUGGAGUCCCUCUCAAAGGCCCAUGAUCCUUCUAACAUGCCCUAUGGCAUUGUCUUCACUGCUCAGUCAGCACUGGGUCAUCGAGUGUCCAUGUUCUUGCUGGCUCUGAGAGUAGAGAGAGUGUCUGCUCCACUGCUGACAGCCCUCCUCCUGAGCCCAAAGCUGCUGCUGCUCAUCACUGUCUCUGCCAUCUAUGCCCACAGGAAGCAAGGACCUAACUGUGCCCCAGGAGGAAAAUAGCACCAAGGACAUAGCAGACACGUGGGGAACAUUUCUGGAAUGAUGAGCAGAUAAUUAAAUGUGGACAUGGAUCCCACACCUCUUUCCUCCUCCCCUGCCACACGCCACCAUCAGUGUCUGCUGCCUCCUUCCUUCCCUGAGAGGCCCAGCCUAAGAGAAGGAACAACUAGACGCUUCCACAAUUCUGCUCCAUAUGCAUUGCUUCCCCCAGACGCCAGCCUACCCACAGAUCUUGCGGCUCCUUCUCACAGUCCUUCUGCCCUCAGCACUGGGUCUUCAUCCCUGGGCCUGAGCAGGAUCCAUGGGAACUUGCUCUGGGGACUUAUGUAAGGACAUAUGUCUGGAAUAUGAGGAACAGUUCACAUCUACACAUAUCAGGCAUCUCAACCAUCUCCUGGGGACUGUGGCCAUGAACUACACAGUCACGUCCAUACUCUCAGGACGUAUUCCUGCCAAGACCCAGAUUUCCCAGCCUUGGUGAGGUUCCCCAUUGUGUCUUGAACAGAAAUGAAUUCCAUCCUGGUCUGAUGAAGAGAAAUGAUUCUCCUUCUUCUGCCUCCAUGUCCUACUCCUCAAUCCCAGAGAGAAAAUUCCUUCCUCCCAGUGAUUGAAAGGUUAGCUCUUCUGUCACCUUCAGUCAUCCCAACCCCACUGCUCAUGUACACCAGCUGGCAGUCCAGGAGGCCGGAGCCAUCCUUGAUAUCCUUUCAUUAUAUACCACAUUCAAUUCUGCCUUUGGAAUUCUAAGUCCCAAUGUUAAAUAAUCUACUCCCAGAAAGGAAAAGAAACCUGAUUUGUAGUGCUUAUGGACAUCUGUGGUGUCAACACUCCGACGUGGCCAAUGACAAGCUGCCAGCACUUUCACAAUUAGCUCACAAAACUCUCAGGAGUGAGUGUAAGCCUCCUCCCGCACACCAGUGAGCUCUACCCAGAGUCUGCACACUGUUCCCUCCCAGGGCUGCUUGCUCCCUGAUCCUGGCCACCAGCAUCUGUUCCUGGACCAUUGCUUCCUCUCUAGCAGGCCCUCUAGUUUCAGCCACAGUGAUUCCUUAAAAAUGGAAGUCAAAGUAUAUGUCUCCUCUGUUUCCUCCCCCUAAGGAUCUGCAUGACCGUCUCUCCCUCUUUCAAGUUCUGCUGACAUGUCACUUUAUUUAAAGCCCCUUACAUAAACCACCCUUAUAAAAUAUCAAUUCCUUUCUCUUGCUCUGUGUUCUGAUAGAUCAUAGCUGAAUUGAAUUGUUUCCCUAGAACUUAUGGUCAGCGGACAUGAUAAAUGGAGGCCGAAUAAAUAAAUAAAUAAGUAAAUAAAUCAAUAAAUAAAUAAAUAUAAAAAAAUAAAAAAUAAAAAAUAAAUGGAGGCCAGUGCUCAUUUUGUAGGAGAUUGCGGGACAGAAACUAUCACUGUUUGGCUGGAACAUGCAACGUUAACUCAGUAAUCAACGGGCAAAAUAAUGAUUCUUCUGUGACCUUCACAAAUGUUUUUCAAAACAUAGAAAAUCUCUUUAGCUAUCUAUUGUGAAAGUUAUAGGGAAAUUAAAAAACAAUAAAACUAUUGUUUACUUGAUAUACGGUCAUUUGAAACAUUAGCAACACUGAAAAGGCUUGUGUUUUAUUUUUUGUAAAGACCUAUCAAGAGUAGUUUGCACAGUGCUUGCAUUCUUCUGACCUCACACUUGACAAUAUAGAGUCAGCAUCUGAGUUAUCUCACUCUGUUCUCAAUGGGAUCAGCUUCCAACAUUCCAACUCUUGCACUUUCUUUUUAUUUUUUUAAUUGUUUUUUAACUCUUGCACUUUCAAUGUUGUGAAAUCUUUACAGUAUUAAUUUAAUUAUUUGCUGGUGUCACUUCCUUGGGACAUUUUCACACAUCGCCCCUGCUUCAACCACCACUCUCCUGUUUCACGGGGUAAGUUUGCCUUCAUUCUGUUCCUUAGGCUGCAUAUCCACACACUGGGGACCAGCAUCCCUGUCACCAUUCCCAUGGUAGCUAGGCCUUUAUGAGCUCCACUCACAUUCAACGUGAACUUCACCUGCAGCCUCAUCUCUUCUUGUUUCUCCAUUGCACUCUCAGCUUUGUGCCAAUUCCCUUUUGUCAUUUUUUCCAGCUUUAUGCAAUGUCGCUGUGGUUCAUUGCUGAGAGAACAGAGCACAACACAACAGCCUGUGCUGCUGUGUGUGGUAAAAUAAGUAACGGAGUCACAGAGAUGAACCAUUACAGUCUUUGAAAGAUGUGAUGCUUACUUAUCGUGAUGAGCAUUUGCUAGUUACAUAGGGAUUUGUGGCCUGAGGAAGAAGCAGCAGUAAAGUUUGUACUUCAUGCCGUUGCUCGUGGUAAAUUCCUUGUGGUCAAUAAAACUUGAAAUGUG